AAGAGACUCAUGCGGCAUUCUGUGUAUUUCCUGGGAAUCAAACCCAUGACCUUGGUGUUGCCAGCGUCAUGCUUAACUUGUGCGAACCAUUUCUUAAGCAUAGAAAAUUAGUCCUAGAAUUGCAAGAAUACUUAGCAAACGACUAGCUGAAAUCAGAUAAAAGUGAAAGAAAACAAUCACUUCCUCUUCACCCGUGACAGCUUAAGCCUGAGCAGCCUGUGAGGCGUUGUGUGCCUGAUGAAGUGUGAAUAAUAAUGGUUUUCCCUCCAGUGAAUACCACAUAUUUAAAAUUCACUUUUAGCCAACAAUAGUUGUUUAAGCAUGUCCAAAACUGCAGCUAGUUGCCCGUGCAUCAAGAAGACCCAGCUAAAUUUUACUGCUACUGUGGGAAGUCCAGUGUCUUAAUACAAACUAUUAGAGGAUGACAUUCAAUUCAACUUGCUUAACCAGGCCAGACUGGCCCCUUAUUACAAACGCCGUACAUUAAUUACAUUAUUUGCACUUAUUUCAAUAGGCUUUUACAUGAGCUUUGCUAACUGACAUCCCUUUUUGGCAUCUUCCUUUUUGCCAUCUUCUGCCUCUUUUCAUAUUUUACAUAUUGUUCGAACAGACAAUAAGUAAAUAACAGGAAACUCUGUAUAAUGCACUAAUGAGGGGGCAACAACACUGUAUGCAACAGAAACAAAAAUGCAGACACACUUCCGCAAUAGCACAGGAAGCUCCAACCAUGCAGACCAACAAAACGCGCGAGCUCUGCUCCUGUGGCGCCAAGUGUUGCCAGAUUUUGCUAAAACAAGCAACGCGUUCUGACUUACCUAACCAAAACAAGCAUGAAGCAGCAAUCCCAUGUCGCUUUCGUUUGCGUUGAACAGACAUUAAACAAAUGUAAAAUUAAUCCUGAUGCGAAACAAAGCGUGACGUCCUCCUCCACGAAUAAUUUAGAUGUUUUACGUGUUAAAACCGGCCAGCUAAAUAUCUCUCAUGCACGCACGUGAAAGUGGAUUCUGAGAAUAGCAGAAAGAGGGAAUGAAAGAGGAAUCGUGCAACUGCUUUUAAAAAUUACAUAAUAUACUGCGGUGCGCACAGCAGGUGGGAAAAUUUUACAUCUGCUAUUACGGUAGAUUAUAAUUAAUUGUGCUGUAAAUCCCAAGUUCUUACCAGUCAAGUAUGCGACUGUACUGACAUAACUGUUAUUAAUAAGCCCUCAAAAAUAUCCAGAAUUACAAGCGACUUUACGUAAACACAUAACGCACGACGUCGCGUAUAAUAAGCGGAUAUGGCAACACGGUCGCGCAGCGCGCUAUGUGGCACGCGUCUCGGUGGAAAUGAGAACUUGUUUACCUGUAAACAACCUAUAGUGACAAACAACUGAAGCAAGGUCUUCGUAAAAGCAAUUCAGCGAGCCAACAAUGGGCUACCAGUUACAAAAGGUGCAAAUUGAUUGUUGUCAGCGGGAUCUUUAGAGAAAACAACAAAGAAACUGUGCGACCAACGUGGAAACAAAACAAAGACUCGUGCUUUGUGACAAAACCAGGAAGCGCUGAGUGACACAGGGACUGAAUUUGAGACUUGAUAUCGGCAAACACCAACGUCCUCAUCAAGCUGCAGACACUGCCACCGGUUGUUAUGGACAGCAGGCUCUCACAGGAACCAAAUCAGGCUCAUGCUCGUUUAUUAUUACAUCAUUGCACUGCACCUUUUCUUAUUCACUCAAUCAAGAGUGCAAAGAGGAGCACUUCUGUUGCUGUGCCAACCAAGGCAACACAAUGGACUCGUCACGUCACGUCGAUCGCUGCCGCGCAUCCAGCCUGAACGCAACUCAGAUCCAGCUUACUUCACAGCUCAUCUUAAACAGACACCAGCGCUGAUAUCAAAGGAGAAGACCGAAAAUAUAAUACAAUUGGUUUUAUUCUGCAGUUUCUAGGUUACAUGACUUGGCAGAUGCAGAGAUCAAGAUGGGCAAUGAACAUCGGCCGUCUUUUUGAGCAUUAAAAACAAGCCUUCGAGACAUAAUGCCACCGUUUUCAAUAGAUUCAAAAGAUUUUAAUAUAAUUUUGAAAUAUUUGUAAUCACAAGUUUCCCCAGAGGGACCAAAACCUGGGGAUUUCCAAGCUCAAAAGUGAAAAUCACAACAAAAAUUCGCCAUUGCUAACAAAAAGGAGAUUAAUACACAAAGACAUUUUUUUUUUUUACAAGAUUAAUAAUAAUAAAUCACUAGACAUUCAUUUUUACAAUAAAAACAGUUCCGCACAAAACGUUCAAGAACUGAAGGCAAAAAGCAACAGGAUCAAACCAGGUAGGGCAAAAAGAAAAGGCGUAUUUAUUUUUCUUUACUUCCUCAAAUGAUUCACAAAAGCUGUGACAAAUAGGACUUAAAAGUACAUAAAGAUUUUUUUUUUUGGUUUUCACUUUUUUAAAUAUAUAUAUAAAUUUAUAUAUAUAUAUAAUUUCAAGAGUAUACCGCAAAAAAGUCACAACUGAUCCCCAACAAAAAGCUGCACAAUAAAUGUUGUUAUUCAUGACGCAUAAAGGCACACAGAAACAGACAGGCUGCACACUGAUUCGGCAGAAGCUAUCUUACAGAGUUUCACCAUUUUUUUUUUCCUUUUUUAUUUAUUCAUUUAUUAUUUAAGAGAAAUCGCCCAUUCUCUCCUUGAUCGACCAACAUCUGAUACCACCACUAGGUGGCGUCUUGCCAGAUGUGUGUAGAUGCAAAAAAAAAAAAAAAAAUGUAGGGUUAGUAAACCAGAGAGAAAGCCAGUGUGGGGAAAGAAACACUCGCUGAAGCCAUGCACAUAUGCGCAUACCGUUAUUAAUAACUUAAUGCCUUAGACGUCCAUUUUCUCAAACGUUCAAGUGCUGUAUAAUUUCACAAAAGUAUGCAUUAAUCGCGCGUACAGUUCCAGGCGGACUUUCGUUUCGCCCGGGCCUCGACGCACCACAUUAUUCAUUCACCAGCAGAUUGAAAUGGAUUAAUAAAAAGGUGCAUUUCCAUGGCUAGAGGCUCCUAAUUUCCACGUGGAGUUAAACCUGAUUGAGCUAGUUCAUCUAAAAAGCUAAUCUUGAUUAAUAAGAGUUUUUUUUUUUUUUUUUCCUCCGAACACUAAAAGGAACCUGGAUUUUUAAAUAAGUG